UACGUAGGGGGCAAGCGUUGUCCGGAUUCAUUGGGCGUAAAGAGCGUGUAGGCGGCCAGGUAGGUCGGUUGUGAAAACUGGAGGCUCAACCUUCAGAGGUCGACCGAAACCAUCUGGCUAGAGUCCGGGAGAGGAGAGUGGAAUUCCUGGUGUAGCGAUGAAAUGCGCAGAUAUCAGGAAGAACACCCGUGGCGAAAGCGGCUCUCUGGAACGGUACUGACGCUGAGGCACGAAAGCGUGGGGAGCAAACAGG
rnacentral:rRNA from 1 species